ACCUCACUACUCCUAGUUUUACUGCCAAGUAUAGGUCUUCUGAUUACUGCCUACAAUCCGUGGAGUGUUCUGGGAAUUAGAAAAUGUAAUCUUUAUAAAAUUCUUACCGCAGUGCCAGGCAUACAAAAAUGACUUAAUCCUUAUUAGCUGUUGUAAUUAUUAUUAAUUGUAGACUUUGACUCACAAUCUUCUUUUCCUUCCCAACUCCUGCUAUUAUUCUGGGUGGAUUUAUUGUGAAAGGGAUGAUUCAUCCAUUCACACAAUAGCCUUUGAGACCCUGGGGUUGAACUAUUCAGUGGCCUUUAUCUCCUCUCCGUAUUAGCCAAACACUUAUAGGACCUCAUCUUGGAAUUCUUCCAUAUUAUAAGUACUCAUUGUUCUAGCCUCCCCUCUAAUUCAAACUCCGUCUGAAGACGAGGGAUGGGGAAUGAUCUUCCUAAAGUACUAAUAUGAUUACAUCCUCAACCAGUUAAAAACAUCUUCAAUGGCUCAUCCUAGUAAAAUUCAGCACCUUUAGCUUUAACUUCACAUCUUGACUCAGUUUACUUCUUCUCCCUUAAUCUUAUGCCGUGUACACUACACCCUUAACUCUCAAAUCUCCCAACUCCAAUGAAACUUUAUCCUCUUUCUCUUUCUAGCCUUGAGUUUUUGCAAACACUGGCCCUUAGGGUGGGGAUAGUGGACAGCGCUUUCUUCCUUAUAAGCCAGAUUCUCUGACUUACAUCUCAAUGUAUUUAGAGGACUACUCCUGUAGCAUACCUUUCCAAAUCCCUUCUCUGACACCCGCCCCUACCCUUUGUUUUAUCUCAAAAUCAGUGUCCAAGUCAGUGUCCCUCCUGAGAUGGCAUGGCUAUCCAGUGUGGAUUGCACAUUGUAGCACUUUGACCCUACUGAAUUAUAAUUUUGCCCCUACAGUUUACUUAUCACUCAUUUCUACAAGAGCGUAAAUUCUUUGAGGACAAAACCUGGUCUGAUCGAGUUUCUUUUUACAUUUCCAGUGCCUAGUACUGCCUGGAACACAGGAGGGACUCAAGAAUGAUUAACUGAGUCAAUGAAUCAAUCUCAUCUAUUUGAGCAGAGAACUUGAUGAAACCGUUUCACAAAGCGUCACAAGAUGGCUAGAGAUGGAGUGUAUGCAUAAAUACCCCAAAGGGAAUUUAAAGAUCUAUGAGUUUACAGUAACAUUUCUACAGCAUUUGCUUUCUUCUGCCUCUUUACAUCUACCAGGAAAAGCAUGAAAAGUGAAAAUAGUUUUGUCGUUACCGAGCCCUAAGGGACCAGUGACCCACAAGUGGGUCCUUUUACUGGGAGCCACUCAGACACCAACAGAACAAGAUGGGGUUCAGAAUAGCAGAGCAGAAACGUUAUUCAUUGAUCACCGAGCGGUGGAGGCAGAGCUCCUGCCCUACAGCAUCUUCUCCCUGAAGGGAAGUGGUUCCAAACAAACGGAAAUCAAGCAAGUGUUUUUCAUAUUCUGAUCAGCUUUUACCUGAAGGAAGUGUGGAACAUGCAAAGACAGUAAUAAAUGUAUGCUCUGUCUACAGCUUAAUGAAAUACACAAUGGUCUACAGUGUCUUUUCAAAUUAGUUUCGCAGGAAUGAGGAAAUAUGCAUGAUGGCAAUCACAUAGAGAUGCAAUCAACAACCACCCUGACCCAGACCAAGCCCCACUGCAAGAGCAGCGCCUGCACAGAUGAGCCAAGAGGUGCCAGCUGAGCCUGCACAAGUGAAUACCCACCUCUCUCCAUCUGAAAUAAAAGGCCCC